rnacentral:lncRNA from 1 species
CAGAGACGUUUUGCUGAAGAAGGUCUCUAUCAUUGUUGUUUUAGCAAACAGAGAUAAGUGUUUCAUGUGCAGACUGUCUCCCCUUGACCUUGUGUCUCUUUCUAAUAUAGAAAGUAACGUGUUGCCAGCCACAGCUGGCCGCCACAUACGCCUCUGUCUUCUGGUAUCUGUCCAAACGGACACAGAAGCAAAAAUGAAAGAUUAAAAAGGGUUACACAAAACAAAUACAAGAUAAAAAGAGGGUCAUCUAGUUUGUACUAAGCACCGUGGCUGCAUAAUGAUUUCACCUGCUAGGCCCCAGAUAUAGACUUUCUUUAAGGGUUGUAUUCCACAACAGAUAGUUAUGAUCUAUCAAAACUGCCUUACAGUUGUAGCAUGUGUCUGAGAUCCCUGCAGGAAUUGAACCCUCAACCUUGGCUUUGCCUGGACAAAGCUCUAACCAACUGAGCCACACAGCAUCAAUAAUCAUCUUAUAUUCAUUGUAGUGCUAAAGGCUUCCAAGAACAGCUCUUAAGCCCUAGCCUUUUGAAGCCAGGAUCCCAAAGGAUAAACUAGUUGUUUGGCAAGCCACAAUGGCUAAUAGCAUCGGAGUCUGUGGUAGAUUUGUGGGUGAGUUUGACACCUUUAAUCAUGUUUAUGUGUCCUGUGGACUUGGAACCACACUCCAGAGAGCCAGGCAGUUACCCCUCCAAAGCCCUUCCCUUUGGUAGCCAGGUCCAGGGGGGUUGUAACAGGGGGAUAACAGUAAAUAAAAGAGAGUGGGUCUAACUGGGGAACUGACCUUUGGUAGCCCAGGUCAAACAGCUGUGAUGAAGGCCCAUAAUGACCUGGGUCAUGUUCAUUAGGCAAUGGACUGAAACAGAGGGACGACCUGGACUUGUCCAAUAAGAACUUGACAUUGUUUUGUAUUGUAAUACACUUUGAACCGUGUUCUGUUGUGUGCCUGAGGGCUCUAUUCAGUCUGUUUCGCUGAAGUGUUACAGAUUCCGCAACAGACAUGUAAAGGACAUUUCUGAUUGAGGGACAUAUGCAGCGUUCACCGUGAAUGUAAUCUGCACCAAAGAGGGGACAUUGCCUUUAAAUUUCAAUCACGCUGUAAAGCUGAACCUCUGCAAUGUGGAUUGAAUAGAGCCCCUAAUUAAAUUGGCCCUGGUAACACUAAGUGAAAAGGUUGAGGUCUUUCCCGUGCUAUGCAGUGUCUAAUCAAUAAUGAUUUAAAGUAAUUGGUUUAACUUUUGAAAUCCAUAUCUGUCCCUUUUCUUCCAAAUAUCUUAUUUUUUUACAUUGCAGUACUUUACAAUAGAGUGCUGCUCAGCCAUUUGAUAAAUUAAACAGCACAAUUUGUUUCUCUAAUGAUGUCAUAUAUACUAUAUGUCAUUAUUGGAUGUAACAGUAUUCACCAAUUUCAACGUCUUACAAAAGGAGUACAGACACUGUGUAUUUGAAGUCCUUAAAGUAUUCUCUAUAAUGUGUAAAUGUUUCCAACAGUCAUUCCAUUCAUAAUGUGUUCAGGCCCCAAUCUGCAGCAUCAUUGGUCAGGUUUCAUAAUGAGGGCAUAUGAUGUCUCACUCACAUAUAGUUCUCAUCAUCCGGCUAUUAGUCUGAGUAAAUAGGCCUUGUCUUCUCCCAUGGACAGGAAAUGCAUGCAUUACCCCUCACUUCCCACUCAUGAAUCAGUUGCUGAAAAAGAACCAGGACAGCUCAAGAUAAGUGGCUGGUUUUAAUGAAUAGGGCGAAUAAGGGAAAGUGCAAAGCUAUUGUUUGGUUGGGGAAUUUAUCUCUGAGAGAGAGGACAAUGUCCCUUUCAUUGUUGUCCCUGUGGUCCCCAGAGGCCCCUCGAGUCAAGUUCAUCACCAGGGAAUCAAUAGGCUGAGGGGACGUGGAGGCCAGGGGCCCCAGCAGUCAUAGGUCAUAGGUCAAACCUGUGGGAGGACGUGAGUGUGUGAGGAGGGGGAGAGGAGGAUGUGGAUGUGUGAGGAAGGUCGGGGAGAUCUGUCCUCCAACAAACGCCUCAAAGCACCGGAACUCCUGCACCUCCCUUGUGAACUCUGACCCCUGCAUAUAAAAUAUGAUGCCUGUGUCCUCAUCUAGCCAGCGCUGGGGACUGGGUCAAGGAAUUAUAGCGAGAGAUUAAGACUGCCACAAGCAGGCCCUGAAAAGCACCAACGUCAUCGCCUUCAACGCCUGCCAACACCAUGUGGUGGUAUUACACUGGAGGGCGAUAAAGGAAAGACUCCAACCAAUAUAUAAGACUUCCUGUAAAACACAGUCACAGACCAACAAAGUGUGGGAGUUCAUUCAGAUUGUUCCAAGUCAGUGUGUAACGUUUCCAGAGCAUUCCCUCAAUGUUAUUGGUAAGGUAACAUUUUUUGCCGCAGUCUGACCCUGUUAAAAGUAGAAAAUAGAGAGUCAAAAUGUAAUUUCUUUCCAUGGAAAAGUUUGUAUUGUCUGUAUCCAUGAUCUAGAACACUUGGCCCCUUAUGUCCUAUAUAGUGCACUACUUUUGACCAGAGCCCUAUAGAACCUGGUCAAAAGUAGUGAACUAUAAAGGGAAUAGGGUAACCUUCGGGAUGCAACCAUGGACGACAUUCUCUUAUUUGUGUUACGGCCGUCGUUGGAGGAAGGGGACCAAAGCGCAGCGUGGUAUGUGUUCAUGACAUUUAUUAAACAAUGAAACACUAGAGCCAAAGAACAAAACGAAAAGCCAACAGUUCCGUCAGGUAACGAAUACAAAACAACUCCCCACAAACACAGGUGGGAAAAGGCUGCCUAAGUAUGAUUCCUAAUCAGAGACAACGAUAGACAGCUGCCUCUGAUUAGGAACCAUACUCGGACCAACACAAAAAAAUGCUAAACAUAGAAUGCCCACCCCACACCCUGACCUAACCACAUAGAGAAACAAACCGUCUCUCUCAGGUCAGGGCGUGACAGUACCCCCCCCCCCAAAUGAGCGGACUCCCGGCCGCAAACCUGAACCUAUAGGGGAGGAUCCGGGUGGGCAUCUAUACUAGGCGGCGGCUCUGGUUCGGGGCGUAGCCCCCACACCGCCCGCUGAUCCCCCCGCUUUUGUGUCGCCGGAGGAACCAGACCGUGGAUCAUCGCCGGAGGCUCUGAACUGCCGACCGCCGCUGAAGACUCUGGGCUGCAGGCCGCCACUGAAGACUCGGGGCUGCAGGCCGUCUCAGGAGGUUCCGGGCUGCAGGCCGUCUCAGGAGGUUCCGGGCUGCAGGCCGACGCUGGAGGCUCCGGGCUGCGGAGCGUCGCUGGAGGCUCCGGACUGGGGAGCGUCGCUGGAGCCUCCGGACUGGGGAGCGUCGCUGGAGCCUCCAGACUGGGGAGCGUCGCUGGAGGCUCCGGACUGGGGAGCGUCGCUGGAGCCUCCAGACUGGGGAGCGUCGCUGAAGGUUCCGGACUGGGGAGCGUCGCUGUAGGUUCCGGACUGGGGACCGUCGCUGCAGGCUCCGUGCCAUGGAUCAACACUACAGGUUCUGCACCAUGGAUCAUCACUGGAGGCUUUGUGCCAUGGAUCAUCACUGGAGGCUCCGGGCCAUGGAUUAUCACUGGAGGCUUCAUGCCAUGGAUCAUCCCUACAGGCUCCGGGCCAUGGUUCAUCUCUACAGGCUUCUUGCCAUGGAUUAUCCCUACAGGCUCCGGGCAUGGAUCAUCUCUACAGACUUCUUGUCAUGGAUUAUCCCUACAGGCUCUGGGCCAUGGAUCAUCACUGGAGGCUUCAUGCCAUGGAUCAUCACUGGAGGCUUCGGACCAUGGAUCAUCACUGGAGGCUUCUCUCGUGGAGCUGGAACGGGUCUCACCGGACUGAGGAGACGUACUGACAGCCUGGUACGUGGAGCAGGCACAGGGCGUACCAGGCUGAAUAGAAUCACUGGAGGGAGAGUGCGAGGAGCAGGCACAGGACGUACAGGGCUGUGGAGGCGCACUGGAGGGAGAGUGCGAGAAGCAGGCACAUGCUCACCACGAUAAGCACGGUGUGUUGGCUCAGGUCUCAACCCUGACUCCGCCAAUCUACCCGUGUGCCCCCCCAAAAAAUAUUUUGGGGGCUGCCUCUCGUGCUUCCUUCCUUGCCUCCCUGGCAGGUUUCUAUAUCUGUCCAAUACUUGCCCCCAAGUCCAGUCUAUUCUCUCCUCCCACUCUUCCAGAGACCAGGAAUCCAUCUCCUGCUUGAUCCAGUUGUGGUGGGUAGUUCUGUAACAACCGUCGCAAUGAGGGGACCAAGGUGCAGCGUGGUGUUCUCCGGCAGCCAAUGAUCUUCGAGGAGACAAAUGAAGUGAAUCGCUGACAUAUUUCAAAGUGGCGAGAAGGGGAGGAGCCAUGAUAAAAUAGCCAAUGGGAGCGAAGCAGUUCUUAGAAGAUCUUGAGUGGUUACAGUGCAG